rnacentral:rRNA from 1 species
UACAGAGGUCUCAAGCGUUGUUCGGAUUCAUUGGGCGUAAAGGGUGCGUAGGCGGCGCGGUAAGUCGGGUGUGAAAUCUCGGGGCUUAACUCCGAAACCGCAUUCGAUACUGCCGUGCUUGAGGACUGGAGAGGAGACUGGAAUUUACGGUGUAGCGGUGAAAUGCGUAGAUAUCGUAAGGAAGACCAGUGGCGAAGGCGGGUCUCUGGACAGUUCCUGACGCUGAGGCACGAAGGCCAGGGGAGCAAACAGG